rnacentral:rRNA from 1 species
UACGUAGGGCGCAAGCGUUGUCCGGAAUUAUUGGGCGUAAAGAGCUCGUAGGCGGCCAGUUGCGUCUGCUGUGAAAUCCCGGGGCUCAACCCCGGGCGUGCAGUGGAUACGGGCUGGCUAGAGGCAGGCAGGGGAGAACGGAAUUCCCGGUGUAGCGGUGAAAUGCGCAGAUAUCAGGAGGAACACCGAUGGCGAAGGCAGCUCGCUGGGACGGUACUGACACUCAACUACGAAAGCGUGGGGAGCAAACAGG